rnacentral:misc_RNA from 1 species
UCCUCAUAUCAUCGUAUCCUAAGGCAACCCACAACCUAUAAAAUCUUGAGCAAAAGGCACAAAUGCAGGAUUAAUUUUGCAAUCAAGAGGUUGUGAACUCUAAUGCACAUAAACUUAAUGAGCUUUCACAAUGAAAUUGGGACUUGUAUUUCAAAUUCAAUGAGAAAAUCCACUAACUGCAAGACAUCUACAAUAUACAUGCUGCAUUUUCGACAUAUGGGAG